rnacentral:rRNA from 1 species
GACGAACGCUGGCGGCGUGCUUAACACAUGCAAGUCGAACGGAAAGGCCCUGCUUUUGUGGGGUGCUCGAGUGGCGAACGGGUGAGUAACACGUGAGUAACCUGCCCUUGACUUUGGGAUAACUUCAGGAAACUGGGGCUAAUACCGGAUAGGAGCUCCUGCUGCAUGGUGGGGGGUGGAAAGUUUCGGCGGUUGGGGAUGGACUCGCAGCUUAUCAGCUUGUUGGUGGGGUAGUGGCUUACCAAGGCUUUGACGGGUAGCCGGCCUGAGAGGGUGACCGGCCACAUUGGGACUGAGAUACGGCCCAGACUCCUACGGGAGGCAGCAGUGGGGAAUAUUGCACAAUGGGCGGAAGCCUGAUGCAGCAACGCCGCGUGCGGGAUGACGGCCUUCGGGUUGUAAACCGCUUUCGCCUGUGACGAAGCGUGAGUGACGGUAAUGGGUAAAGAAGCACCGGCUAACUACGUG